rnacentral:rRNA from 1 species
AGUGAACGCUGGCGGUAGGCCUAACACAUGCGAGUCGAACGGCAGCACAGUAAGAGCUUGCUCUUACGGGUGGCGAGUGGCGGACGGGUGAGGAAUACAUCGGAAUCUACUUUUUCGUGGGGGAUAACGUAGGGAAACUUACGCUAAUACCGCAUACGACCUACGGGUGAAAGCAGGGGAUCUUCGGACCUUGCGCGAUUGAAUGAACCGAUGUCGGAUUAGCUAGUUGGCGGGGUAAAGGCCCACCAAGGCGACGAUCCGUAGCUGGUCUGAGAGGAUGAGCAGCCACACUGGAACUGAGACACGGUCCAGACUCCUACGGGAGGCAGCAGUGGGGAAUAUUGGACAAUGGGCGCAAGCCUGAUCCAGCCAUACCGCGUGGGUGAAGAAGGCCUUCGGGUUGUAAAGCCCUUUUGUUGGGAAAGAAAAGCAGCAGGUUAAUACCCCGCUGUUCUGACGGUACCCAAAGAAUAAGCACCGGCUAACUUCGU